AACUUAGUAUAUAAUGUAAAACUAAAUUUCAGCCCACACCUUAUUUUCCCUCUUCCCUCCCCGAUACAGUACUCUGCCUCUCUUCUGUGUCGUCAAACAGCCAUUCUCUGUUGCUUACGUGCAUCGUCCAGCCAGCUACCGUGCCUUCUCGCCUCCACUCGACGCCGGAUGGAACCAUCACGUCAUCUAAUACUCAUGGAAUGUAUGUAGCCGGGCAAAUUAAGAUAUGACGGACUCUAUACGCGCGGCUAUCGUACACUAGGUGACGACAUAUCACUUUCCCCUCUGCCUCAGAUUCGAAAUAGUAAGACAAGUAUCAUUGCUAUAAAGAGUCUUGCUACAGAAUAGCACGAGUGCAAUAGCCCCGCGGUGCACCUGUUUCCUUUUUCUCUUUUCUAUUUCGUUCUCUGACAUAGUGCACUCAAUAAGCUAAUAUUUUCUUUCUUUUUCUUUUUUAUUUUUUAAAUAAAAAUAAAAUGAUUUUAAAAUAAAACUAAUCCAUUAUUUCGUAUAAAUCUUCAUUGUUUUUUUCUAAACUUCUUUGUUUUGUCUGUAAGAGAGGAAAACUAGAAGGAGAUACAAAAUAAUAAACAUACAUCACUUUUCAUAACGUGAUAUCAUUUUUGAAACAUUUUGUAAAAUGUCUUUUAAAAAUAAGGUUAUUUUACAAAAAUAUCUUUAUUUUAUAGAAUAAUGUUAAAUAUAAGUCCUAAAUAGACAAGUCAUGUGCAAGCUCUUCAUAAGAAAAUAAAUCCCACUAAUAAGUAGUAGUUUUUUUAACACUUUUUAAAACUGUGAUCCACUUUUUUAUAAAGGCUUGCGCAUGACUUGUUUAUUUAGAAUUUGUACAAAUCAGUUUUCUAUUCUACAACAUGCAUUGUGAAAUAUGAUAUGAAAUGUAUUGUGUGGAUAUCAUUACUCUUUAAAGAUACUUUUAUUUUCAAAAUUUUUACUCUUUCUUUCGAAAAUAUCCGAGUUAAUCUUGUUUUAACUUUAAAGUUCAAACGUGACACCAUGUCAGAUGCACCCGGGGCGGUUCCAUAGAAUUUUUCUUACUAUAAAACGUUUAUAGAAAUGAUGUCAUGGUCUUCGGAAAGAUCGACCUUCUUGUUUCGAUUAUAGACAUGAAGGCAUCCCCUUUGAUAAGGUCCAAUUUGGAGCCGUCUGCAAUUCAUGGCAGACAGUGGCGAAUGAUCGCAUGAAAAAGCCAGUGGCUACGCAAGUCAUGCACAUUCCCAUGUGGCAUGCUGAUUCCUAAACAACAGAUAUGACAUCCAAAAAAGCAUGGAAUUUAUACUGUAUCACCGAGCAAAAAAUCUGACUUCAAGAGCCCAAUGCCUUACCAAUACUUCGGGGCGGGAAUUACCCUCUUCAACCCCUUCAGGAACGUGAAAAUCCAUCUUUCACGGCUUCUAAAACUUGGAUGCGGAUGCGGGUGCAGCUUCCAUUACUCCUCAACUCCUCCUGGGGACAGUCUUGUUUUGGCUAUAUAUGGUAUACAUAACAGACUUGACUUUCAUGACAUUGGAUCAAGUAUACCGGACUUAUAUGGAUGACACAAAUAUAUAGAUGGUUAACCUCCGAUGUUGUGUGUUAAAGAUCUGGUCUGGUCGUAGCCCUUGAUUAUGGAGGUGGGCUCGUAUCAUUUGGUGUUAACAACACUAACCCUAAUCGUCCCCACAAGCACUAGUCAAUCGAUGUUUUGGGCAAAUGAUGUUUGUUUGUCGUUGUUUCUGUUCCAUGUAAUGCCAUCGAGUACUUGCAGCAGUAGUGCUAUAUUGUUUCUUCAAAUUAAUAAAAUAAAAUGCACUUGCAGUCAA